GCCUGCCCGGUGACGAAAGUUUAACGGCCGCGGUACCCUGACCGUGCAAAGGUAGCAUAAUCACUUGCCCUAUAAUUGAGGGCUAGUAUGAAUGGCAAGACGAGGGCCUAACUGUCUCUAAAACAUGAAAAAAAUUAUGCUUCAGGUGAAGACACCUGAAUACUUAUGAAGGACAAGAAGACCCUAUAGAGCUUAACUACUACCUCUCUAGUUCGUAAUAAAUAAAAUAAUCCAUUGAACCACGUAGUUUGGUUGGGGCGACCAAGGAACAUUUAGCUUCCUAAACAACCUAAGGGCCUUCCGCCUAAAUUUGAUCCGUUAAAAUUACGAACAACAAAUAAAGCUACCUUAGGGAUAACAGCGUAAUCUUCUUCAAGAGUUCAAAUCUACAAGAAGGGUUGCGACCUCGAUGUUGGACUAGGGUAUCCUAAAGGUGCAGCAGCUUU
rnacentral:rRNA from 1 species